AGAAGGUGUGGCUAACCCAGGGAGCACAGGUGCAAGCAAUGCACCUGAACAACCAGAAGGGGUGGACUUCUCACACUCAUUUAUGAGACAGUUGCCAAGUCAGCAGCACCUCUAUUUACAGCCAGGAUCCUUCUUAAAACUUUACCAGCCUUUGGAAAUGCAAGCAGGAAAAUGGCACAAAGAUUGCUGAAGGUCAUGCUGCAGACCAGUGAAAGAACCAGGAUUAAAUUCAGUCCUUCUGGAUCCCUGCACUGAGACCAUUCUGCUGAGCUAUUUCUGGAAGUCAAUGAAUACUCAAUCUGAAAGCAGAGAAGUGCUAUGAGGAUGGCUGUCACCAGCAUCAGAGUUUGCAGCCCUGUGUAGUACUUUGAAUGCCUCAUUAUACAGAAUCUGCACCUCUGGACUCCUUCUUUUCUGAGGAACUCUCAGCAGGCUGCAGACGAUGCUGUGAGUCUGAAGAAAAGCAUCAGUACAGAAGAGGACCUGAAGCACUGGUGGGGAAACAGCUG